UGGUGCAUGGUUGUCGUCAGCUCGUGUCGUGAGAUGUUGGGUUAAGUCCCGCAACGAGCGCAACCCUACGUUUAGUUUGCCAUCGGGUGGAGCCGGGCACGUCUGGACGAACUGCCGUUGACAAACGGAGGAAGUGGGAUGACGUCAAAUCAUCAUGCCCCUUAUGUCCUGGGCCACACACGUGCUACAAUGGCCGGUACAGAGGGAAGCGAAGCCGUGAGGCGGAGCAAAUCCCAAAAAGACCGGUCUCAGUUCGGAUUGCAGGCUGCAACCCGCCUGCAUGAAGUCGGAAUCGCUAGUAAUCGCAGGUCAGCAUACUGCGGUGAAUACGUUCCCGGGCCUU
rnacentral:rRNA from 1 species